UCUUGACUUUCAAAUUCAAAGUUGGCUUCCAAGGACUCUGGUUUGGGCUACUGUCAGCGCAGAUCUCCUGUGUGUGUUUGAUGGUAUACACAUUGAUCCGCACAGACUGGAAACUUCAGGCUAAGAGGGCUGACGAGCUGACUCUCGCUGCAGGAGAUGGGGAAGAUUUAGAGAGUGGAUUAAUUAGCAGCGAAAACUAAAAAUUAAGAUGCCUCAAAGACAACAUUUUGACAGGUUCAGAGGUAGACUAAAACAUACAAACCAGUACAAAACAUCCCUUCUGACAAGAAAUUGCUGGGUCAUUGAUGUUCUUGACUAUGGGGGAAACAAAAAAAAAAAUUGCUGAAUCACUCUGUUACAGAUCCCUGAAUGAUUUUUUUUUUUAAUUAGUGAUCAACAAAGCAGAAGCAUUCUUGCAUUCGAAAUUUGCAAAAGACAAUUAUUUAUCAUUUCCUGAAUGUGUGCAGAAAAUUGUUAGUGCACUUAGAAAAUUAGUUUUACAAAAGAGAAGAUGUCCAUCUUCUAUUAACACACCAGACCACCAAAGAAUUAAUGGAAAAGAUCAGUGCAUGCAAAUUUGUAGGACCAGUCCAUAAUCUUCGAUGGAAGAAGAUUGGAUUGAUUUAACACACCAGACCACCAAAGAAUUAUUUCUUUUUUUUUUUUUUUUGGGUGGAGUCUGCUCGACACAUUCACCAUUUUAACGGAACUUUAGCAUAAUUCUAACUAAUCAAAUCAGAUCAUUGACAAUUUGACAGACAGCGUGGAAACACCAAAUCCAUUCCAUUUUUUAACAUACGAAACUAAAUUGACAUUGAAAGCGAAUUAGAUAAAGAAAUUUAGAUUACCUCAGAUCUCUUCCGCCCUCCAACCUCUCACAGACUCACAGUCAUGAUUUUUUUUCCUUUUUUUUAUUUUUCAUUUUGGGGUCUGAAUAUAAACAUUCAACUUCGAGCUUUUGCUAGUUUGGUUGCUGGCUUGCUCGCGUCUCCCCCUCCAGCCUCCACUCUCCACAGCAAGCUUUAUUCCUUUGUUAAAUUACAAAAGGACCCCUGAGUUGUUUUGGGUAAGGAGUUUCUUGCAUAAUUAAAGUACUUUAUCUUAUAGUCACCGCAUCAUCGGAUGAUUCGAUUUUGUUUAACCAUUCGAUGGAAUUAGGUUAUGGGUAAGACAUUGUAGAUGGAUCUAUUAUUUAUAUAAUUAGGGUACAAUACUUUACACUCUAAGCACCGUCAAAUGAUCUGAUUU
rnacentral:lncRNA from 1 species